rnacentral:rRNA from 1 species
AUUGAACGCUGGCGGCAGGCCUAACACAUGCAAGUCGAACGGUAACAGGAAGCAGCUUGCUGCUUUGCUGACGAGUGGCGGACGGGUGAGUAAUGUCUGGGAAACUGCCUGAUGGAGGGGGAUAACUACUGGAAACGGUAGCUAAUACCGCAUAACGUCGCAAGACCAAAGAGGGGGACCUUCGGGCCUCUUGCCACCGGAUGUGCCCAGAUGGGAUUAGCUAGUAGGUGGGGUAACGGCUCACCUAGGCGACGAUCCCUAGCUGGUCUGAGAGGAUGACCAGCCACACUGGAACUGAGACACGGUCCAGACUCCUACGGGAGGCAGCAGUGGGGAAUAUUGCACAAUGGGCGCAAGCCUGAUGCAGCCAUGCCGCGUGUAUGAAGAAGGCCUUCGGGUUGUAAAGUACUUUCAGCGGGGAGGAAGGGAGUAAAGUUAAUACCUUUGCUCAUUGACGUUACCCGCAGAAGAAGCACCGGCUAACUCCGUG